UUAUGGCCACAUCACAUUGAAAACAUCGGUUCUUGUAUGACCACCAAAGUUAAGCAACAUAGAGCCUAAUUAAUACCUAGAUGGGUGACCGCUUGGGAAUACCAGGUUCCGUAA